GCGGUAUUUGUUCUUCGGAACAGAGAGAGCGGCGUACGGGUGCGGAACACGUGUGCAACCUGCCUUUAUCUGGGGGAUAGCCUUUCGAAAGGAAGAUUAAUACCCCAUAAUAUAUUUUACGGCAUCGUAAGAUAUUGAAAACUCCGGUGGAUAGAGAUGGGCACGCGCAAGAUUAGUUAGUUGGUGAGGUAACGGCUCACCAAGACGAUGAUCUUUAGGGGGCCUGAGAGGGUGAUCCCCCACACUGGUACUGAGACACGGACCAGACUCCUACGGGAGGCAGCAGUGAGGAAUAUUGGACAAUGGGUGAGAGCCUGAUCCAGCCAUCCCGCGUGAAGGACUAAGGCCCUAUGGGUUGUAAACUUCUUUUAUACUGGGAUAAACCUACUUACGUGUAAGUAGCUGAAGGUACAGUAUGAAUAAGCACCGGCUAACUCCGUGCCAGCAGCCGCGGUAAU
rnacentral:rRNA from 1 species